rnacentral:rRNA from 1 species
GAUGAACGCUGGCGGCGUGCCUAAUACAUGCAAGUCGAGCGAACGGACGAGAAGCUUGCUUCUCUGAUGUUAGCGGCGGACGGGUGAGUAACACGUGGAUAACCUACCUAUAAGACUGGGAUAACUUCGGGAAACCGGAGCUAAUACCGGAUAAUAUUUUGAACCGCAUGGUUCAAAAGUGAAAGACGGUCUUGCUGUCACUUAUAGAUGGAUCCGCGCUGCAUUAGCUAGUUGGUAAGGUAACGGCUUACCAAGGCAACGAUGCAUAGCCGACCUGAGAGGGUGAUCGGCCACACUGGAACUGAGACACGGUCCAGACUCCUACGGGAGGCAGCAGUAGGGAAUCUUCCGCAAUGGGCGAAAGCCUGACGGAGCAACGCCGCGUGAGUGAUGAAGGUCUUCGGAUCGUAAAACUCUGUUAUUAGGGAAAAACAUAUGUGUAAGUAACUGUGCACAUCUUGACGGUACCUAAUCAGAAAGCCACGGCUAACUACGUGCCAGCAGCCGCGGUAAUACGUAGGUGGCAAGCGUUAUCCGGAAUUAUUGGGCGUAAAGCGCGCGUAGGCGGUUUUUUAAGUCUGAUGUGAAAGCCCACGGCUCAACCGUGGAGGGUCAUUGGAAACUGGAAAACUUGAGUGCAGAAGAGGAAAGUGGAAUUCCAUGUGUAGCGGUGAAAUGCGCAGAGAUAUGGAGGAACACCAGUGGCGAAGGCGACUUUCUGGUCUGUAACUGACGCUGAUGUGCGAAAGCGUGGGGAUCAAACAGGAUUAGAUACCCUGGUAGUCCACGCCGUAAACGAUGAGUGCUAAGUGUUAGGGGGUUUCCGCCCCUUAGUGCUGCAGCUAACGCAUUAAGCACUCCGCCUGGGGAGUACGACCGCAAGGUUGAAACUCAAAGGAAUUGACGGGGACCCGCACAAGCGGUGGAGCAUGUGGUUUAAUUCGAAGCAACGCGAAGAACCUUACCAAAUCUUGACAUCCUUUGACAACUCUAGAGAUAGAGCUUUCCCCUUCGGGGGACAAAGUGACAGGUGGUGCAUGGUUGUCGUCAGCUCGUGUCGUGAGAUGUUGGGUUAAGUCCCGCAACGAGCGCAACCCUUAAGCUUAGUUGCCAUCAUUAAGUUGGGCACUCUAAGUUGACUGCCGGUGACAAACCGGAGGAAGGUGGGGAUGACGUCAAAUCAUCAUGCCCCUUAUGAUUUGGGCUACACACGUGCUACAAUGGACAAUACAAAGGGCAGCGAAACCGUGAGGUCAAGCAAAUCCCAUAAAGUUGUUCUCAGUUCGGAUUGUAGUCUGCAACUCGACUACAUGAAGCUGGAAUCGCUAGUAAUCGUAGAUCAGCAUGCUACGGUGAAUACGUUCCCGGGUCU